GUAGUAACCAGUCGUGCUCUGAGGUUCUUAACCUGACCCCAAGUUUACCUUAACCCCAACCAGUUAUCUCUACUACGCCUAACCAUAACCAUAAGCCCUAACUCUCACUGCGGAGGUGGUUCUACGGAAAACAGAGUUCUAACAGAGGGAACAAUAUUUGAGGGGGGACAGAAUUCGGCAAAACACCUGUUAAAAAAAAAAGGUUUCGGCACGCGCGUGGUUUGGGGCUAGUUAACGUUAGCCGCAAACUAACCGUUACUAACGGUUUGCUGUGGAGUUUGUUGAUUUUGUAGUUACUCUAACAAUAUUUUCCGAAGCAGUUAAACGGAUCAUCUGACACAACAGUGCACACCAGAACAAAAGACCACUGGAGGUGGAACAGGAAUAGUUAGCUAAGCCCGAAAAGUUUAGGCGGAUGGAAAAACGUUAGCGCCGCCGCGACUGUGUGGAUUUGCUGGGCUAACGUUAACGUUCAUUAGGUGAAACUGUUAACCACCAUAAUCGUGGAUUUAAGAAGACUCGGCAGCAAAUAUCGCCACUAAUAAAACGGAUUUCACACUGCAUCAGCUCCUAUCAAGAUUUGUCCAACGUCCACCAUCUCCUAUCUGUGAACAUCUCUGUGAACAUCAAAAAACAAGGCAGACGUGAUAACAUCCAGAGCUCCACACGACUGUGUUGAUGAGAGGUGACAAAUGAUGGGUAGUUAGAAUUCAUGAAACUGCCAAAAUGUCAUCAAUCCUUGGACUCCCGACACAAGGAUCAGAUGUAACAAUCCUCAUAACCAGGGUCCACUUACAUCCCUUUUGUGUGCUUGUGGAGUUCUGGGGGAAAUUUAGCCAGGAGAGGACAGCAGAUUAUCAGUCCCUGGCCAAAGAUAUUCAGUCUCCUGGAAACACAUUUCAAGAGUUUGAGGGAAAUCCUGGUGACCAGUGCUUGGUUCAGAUAGAUGGUACCUGGUAUAGGUCCCGCAUUGUCUCAAGAAAUGGCUCAAAAUACAGUGUGUUCCUCAUUGACAAAGGGAUGACAAAUAACACCAUCACAAGUAUGCUGGCAUGGGGUAAGAAGGAGCACUUCCACCUGCCACCUGAAGUGGAAUUUUGUUUGCUAGCCAAUGUGUUACCUCUCUCACCUGAGAACAGAUGGUCUCCAGUGGCUCUCGAAUUCCUGAAAUCUCUCUCAGGGAAAUCUGUGAAGGCACAUGUGCAAGAUGUACUGGUGUCUCACAGAACAUUCGUUCUGCACAUCCCUUGCAUAUCCAAACAAAUGUAUGAGAUGGGAUUUGCCAAGAAGCUGGCUCCAGACAUGUUCCAGGAUUUUGUACUCAUGUCACUGCAGGCCCAUAGUGGAGCUGAAGUAUCUCCAGAGACUCAGCAAAGCUCCAUGGGGGCAGGUGAGCGACUGCACAAGCAAGAGCUGUACAUGUACCCAGAACUGCCAUCAGGAACUGUGGAGACUGUUAUAGUCACAGAAGUGACAAAUCCACAGCGAAUUUUUUGCCAGUUAAAGGUUUUCUCACGAGAGAUGAAAAAACUCUCAGAGCAAAUCACACAGUGCUUUGAGGGCAGAACGACCAAUUGCAUUGUAGGUCCUGAAAUGAUCGGAUAUCCGUGUGCUGCAAGAGGAAGUGAUGGCAGAUGGUACCGCUCUGUUCUACAACAGGUAUUACCAUCCAAAAAAGUGGUUGAAGUACUGAAUGUUGACUAUGGAACAAAACAGUUUGUUCAAGUGAAGAAUGUAAGACCACUGGCUACAGAGUUUUUCAGGAUGCCUGUUGUGACUUACAUUUGCUCCCUCCAUGGAAUCCUCGACAAAGGGGUUGGAUGGACAACCACCCAGAUCGACUAUCUCAGGACCCUUCUUCUACACAAAACAGUGAUUGCCAAAUUUGAGUACCAAAGCAUCUCUGAAGGUGUUCACUAUGUCACGCUCUAUGGGGAUGAGAACACAAACAUUAACAACUUGUUUGGUUCAAAAGAGAGCUGCUUUCUGGAGUGUGAAAAAACACUUGGAGAUUAUGCCAUUCGAAGUACUGCAUACAGCCGCCAGCAUCCUGCCCAGCAAGAAAAAAAUCAAAAAAAGAUGUUACCUUCUGGACAGGUUGUAGAGGAUAAAGAAGGGAAAGAAAUAGCAGAGAAGUUGCCAGUUGAAGACCUCUCCCUUAACUCCUCACAUGUGGCAUUUGUGCAGCAUGCAUCCAACCCAUCAGAGUUUUGGAUCCAAACACAAAACUAUGCAAAUGAGUUGGAUGAACUGAUGGAUAAUAUUUACCAUCUCUACAAAGAUUCAGCGAACAAAGAUGUGGUGAGAAAUCCAACCGUAGGGCUCUGCUGUGCUGCCAAGGCAGAGGAUGGUGACUUCUACAGAGCAACCGUGUCUGAAGUUGGUGAAAAACAAAUCAAGGUGUUCUUUGUGGAUUAUGGAAACACAGAAGUGGUUGAUAGAAGUAACAUCAGGAUCCUUCCUGAAGAGUUCAGAAAGCUGCCAUGGCUUGCACUGAAAUGCACUUUGGCAGGUGUCAGGCCAAAAGAUGGAAGAUGGAGUCAGGGUGCCAGUGAGUUUUUCAUCAAAGCAGUCACAGAUAAAGUUCUAAAUGUACAUGUGACAGCAAAGUAUGAUGAUGCUUAUGUUGUCGAACUGACAGAUCCUGAGGGACACGGAGAAAGAGAUCUCACUAAGCUGAUGUGUAGCUCGGGCCUUGCUGAAAGGGAUGAGACACAGAAACAACCUAAAGCCAGAAUGGCCAUGCUACCUGCCAUUAUCCCUGCCACACCACAUUCAGAUGUCAGACUCUCAGGUGUAUACAAGAACAGUGGGAUGUCUUUUCAGACCCAAAACACCGUUGGCCCUGCCAGCAAUGAAAGGAGAAUUGCUACAUUCAAGGAGAAUAUGUUUCCCAUCGGAAGUGUCCUUGAUGUCAGUGUGUCGUACAUCGAAAGCCCAAAUGACUUCUGGUGCCAACUAGUACAAAACGCAGGGCACUUGAAAUUGCUCAUGCAUGACAUACAGGCUCAUUAUGCAGGAAGUGAGUUUCAGCCUCUUGUAGAGACGGCAUGUAUUGCUCGCCACCCUGAUAAUGCAAUGUGGUACAGAGCCCUUGUAAUUAACAAACAUGAAACACCUCAUGUAGACGUGUUGUUUGUUGACUACGGCCAGACAGAGACAGUCUCCCUCUAUGACCUGAGGAGGAUCUGCCCAGAAUUCCUCACUCUGCAUGGUCAAGCUUUUCGAUGCAGCCUGUUAAACCCUGUGGACCCAACAUCUGCCAUAAAUGAUUGGAAUGAAGAAGCAAUAGCAAGGUUCCAUGACUUUGUGGCAACUGCUGCAUCCAACUUUGUGAUAUUAAAGUGCACCAUAUACGCUGUCAUGUACAGUGAGCAGAAAAUUGUUUUCAACAUUGUGGAUCUAGAAACUCCCUUUGAGAGUGUCUGCACCAGUAUGGUCAAUCUUGUCAAAAGUGCACCUCCCAAAAAAGUCCCUGGACCAUCUUUCCGUCUGGACACAUACUACUACUCAACACACAACAUCAAAACUGGGACAGAGGAACAGGUCACGGUGACAUGUGUGAACAAUGUCAAUCAGUUCUUCUGCCAGCUCGAGAGGAACACUAAUGUGAUAAAAGAUCUCAAGAUGAAAGUGAACAAUCUCUGUCAUCAGCUUGAGAAUGUAAAGCUUCCAACAGUGUUUGGAACUUUGUGCUUUGCGAAGUUCACCGAUGGGCAGUGGUACAGGGGACAGAUCAAGGCCACAAAGCCAUCAAUCCUGGUUCACUUUGUGGAUUAUGGUGACACUAUUGAGGUGGACAAAUCAGACUUGCUUCCAGUGCCCAGAGAAGCUAAUGACAUCAUGUCUGUGCCUGUGCAAGCAGUUGUGUGUAGUCUCUCUGAUGUCCCUACAGUUGUUCCCAGUGAGGUGAAUAGCUGGUUUGAGACAAGUGCAACAGAAUGUAAAUUCCGAGCGCUAGUAGUGGCAAGAGAGCCUGAUGGAAAACUGCUGGUUGAGCUGUAUCACGGAAACACUCAAAUCAAUUCAAAGAUCAAGAAAAUGUUUCGAAUAGAGAUGCAAAAAGAAGAGCAAAUUGUCUGCCAGGGUCAGAAAGCAUCAAAGGUUUCACCAAAUAAUGCACAAAAGACUCCAAAAGCUGUGCCAAAACAAGCCACAGAAAUGGAUAAUAACAUGCAAACCAUCAAGAAAAAUAACUUCUCCGCCCCAAAACCAGCACAGCAAAUGAGAGAUGAGACAAAAUCUGCGGGUAUAAAUCUGCCGUUUGCAACAAAGCCUUUGAGACAUGGGAAAUGGGAAACAUGUGAAAAUGGUCAGAAGUUCAGACCUGCUCCAUUAGAGCUUUACAGACCUCCACACCAAAGACAGCCGUGUGGGAGUACACAAAGUAAUAUGGGAAAUGGUUCUGAGCCAGCAGAUACCCAUAUCAAACCAAGAGAAGAAAAUCUUCUCACAGUCAGUAAAAGGCUCAUGAAGUCCAAGUCACUUGGUGCAGAAUCUCAGAAGGAAGGCGAUGUGGCUCCAGAAGCCAAAAUCGAAAAACUCCUUAAACUUACAGACCUGCCCGCAAAAUCUAUCACAUCAGGUAUGGAGGCAGAAGUUUAUGUCUCACACUGCAACAGCCCAUUGAGUUUUUAUGUGCAACUUGUCAGAGAGGAGGACGAAAUAUUCUCCCUUGUGGAAAAGCUCAAUGAUCUGCAGUCAACCCCCGAAACAAACAGCAUUAAAGAUAUGCAUCCAGGUGACCUUGUUCAAGCAGAGUUUGCAGAUGAUUCCUCUUGGUACCGAGCAGUUGUAAGAGAAAUUCAUGGCAACACAAUGGCUCUUGUUGAGUUUGUUGAUUUUGGAAAUACAGCAAUGAUGCCAAUUUCCAAGAUGGCCAGACUCCAUAAGUCUUUCUUGCAACUACCCAUGUACAGUACACACUGCAUGCUGAGCGAUGCUGCAGCCCUUGGAAAAGAGGAAAUGCUUGAUCCAGAAGUGGUGGCAGCUUUCAAAAGAGACAUUGGUGGUAAUGGUGAUAAGGAGCUGAAGUGCCGGUUUAUCAGGCAGUCAGGAUCUGUGUGGGAAGUCAGUCUUGAGAACAAUGGUGUUAAAGUGAUGUGUAAAGCACCUACUAGAUGUCCAACUGAUGAUGCUGAAAUCACCCCAGAGAAAUAUAAACAAGUGAUGGAAAAGUCUGUCCAGAACUCAGAACUGCCAGCUGAGAACUCAGGGAAAUCACAAUUGAACAUCUGUUCUCUGUGUUACCACCAACAAGCCUUUCAAGAGGGACAACAGCUAGCGGUUUAUGUCACAACUAUAAAUGAUGCUCAGACCUUUUGGUGUCAGUCUGCUGACUCAGAAAAACUUGAUAAGAUAACAUUAAGUGUCUCAGAAGUUGGGGAUGCAGCAGAUCACAGACAUUUUGACACAGACUGUCUUUCCGCUGGCAGCCCAUGCAUUGCUCUUUUUUCAGAGGAUCGGCUUUGGUAUCGUGGAGAAGUCAUCGACAAAGAUGGAGACGAGCUGUCCAUUCUCUUUGUGGACUAUGGAAACAAGUCCAAAGUCAAAGCAACAGAUCUUAGAGAAAUGCCCCCAGACCUUUUUGAAACUCCACCACAGGCGUUUUUGUGUGAGCUGGAAGGUUUUGAUACUUCACAUGGAUCUUGGGACGCUGGUGCAGUAGAUGAGUUGUCAGUGCUCACAACAGACAAGUUGCUACAGCUGACUGUCAUUAGAGUAAUAAGAGAAGAAAGAAAGAGCAGAUGCAUUGUGCUGCUGGAAUGUGAAGGCAAGGUGAUAAACGAGGCACUGAAAACCUGGUGGAGGAGCUCCAUGCCAGUAAACAAACCUGAUGCAGUUGGACUCUCCACUUCAUGUGAGACACCACUGACAUGUGAUUCAACAGAGAAAGAAACUGUGCCACCUGAGGAUCAAACGCCAGAGGAAACAGAGUAUUCCAAAAUUCAGGAAGUAGACAGUGACAAGCUUGUUGACCUUCACACAACAGAUGAGACCAACAAAUUAGAAAGUAGUCAAAAGAACAGUGAGUGCUCUGAAGAUUCUCAUCAUCCUGAGUCCCCAUUAGAAGAAAGGGAUCAGAUUUUGUCCGAAUGUGAUAUGACUACUGAACCCCAAAUAUUCAGAAUGAUGGAGAGCCUGAUAGAAACUGUUUCUAAUGAAGGGGUGAAAAUAUUCCCCACUAUCGUGAUAUCUCAAACUGAAUCUGAUGAUGUCUUGCCAUCGGAUAGUGGCAUAGAAGACAGCAUGUUACCACCACCUGAUAACAAAGAGGACCACGAUAUUUUGACCUUGAGCUGUAUCAAGAAUGUGGUGGAAACUGACUCUGAAGAGGAGGGUGCUUCAGCGAUGGGCACUAUUGAGCCAGAUGAAUCAAACUCUCCAUCAGAUGAGAACCUUCAGAAGGCAGUGGAUGAGUCUGAGGUCGCAAAGACUGGCUUAAAGCCUCCACAUGAAGAGGGGAAGAUCUACAACAUGGAAGGCAGUGCCGACGUGAUUUAUUCUGAUUCAAAUGAAGAAAGAGAUGAUGGCAAGGUCACCACUGCAAGGGAGAGUUCUGUUACCAGUGUGACAGUAGUAAAAAUGGUUCCCCGCAAAGCUGUUCACAGGCAGAACAUUGAUCUGCAUGAGACAAUUGCUAUGACAUCUGAAGACUCAAAGCAGUUUGAGAGUGACUCUGUGCUGCCCUCCUGUGUGCUUCCUGCACAGCAGUUUGAUGCUCCCACAAAGCAGGAAAUUGAAGCUGGAGAUGGUGUCCCACAGGAAGAGGUCCCACGUGUUACUGCCAAUGUCAAGAAUAACCUGAUGACUGAAGAGGAGAACUCAACUCAUCACGAGGAUAGAUAUUCAGCCCUGCUAGCUGACACUGGUACAGCCGCCAGUGAGACACACACCUACACAUCUCCAUCUGCAGAUCAGGGUGACGUGGUUGAAGAGGCGGCCUGCUCUGUUGAAGAGGCCUGUUUGAUCUGUACAGAUAUAAAUGAGGGAAAUGAUGACAGAGAGGUGGUUGCGAGAGAUGAUUGUCUCAGCGGUGUGUCAGCAGAGGAAACGGUUUCCCAGGAAGAUGGUAGUCCUGAGGUAAAAGUCAACCUGCAUAAAACAAUUGCUGAAGAAUCAAAUCAGGUUCAGAAUGAAUCACUGUUUCUUUGUGGGGAGCUUCUUCAUGAACAGUUAAUUGAGCACCAAAGGGAAAGUGGAGACAUUUCCCUACAAGAGGAAGCACCAUGCACAUCUGCACAUAACAAGGAUAACAUGAUUAAUGAAGAAGAUACAUCGAUUCUUCAUGAAGCCCUUCCAUCUGACACGCAGCCAAAAACCCACACAGUUCCCUAUCCGGAUAUGAGUCACCUGGUUGAAGAGGUGACCUGUCUUGUCGGAGAGAUCUGUUUGAUGGACGUCUGCAGAGAUGAACAGCAGCUCGAUCAACAACCAAAUGCGCCAGCCGUGCUCGAUCAGAUAAGAGAAGGUGAAACAGAGGAUGAUGAGCAGCUGGUACAUACACCUCUGAAACAAAACAAGGAUUUUAACGAUGGCGUGCUCGCUGAAGAAACGUCGUCGUCUGCUGACAGUUUUGAGGCCCAGCUGUCAAAGAUAACUCAUCUGUCUCUUAUCAUCAAUGAUGGUUCUGCUGACACUCUGGGCGUCAAGCAGCAGCCGGAGGAGUGACAGUCUUCUGUUUCCUUCGUGAGAAAUGCUUCAGAUGGAUGUUUAUCAACUUAAGUUUAAUAUGUCAAACAGGUUUUAGUUCAGUAUUAUUUAUGUUCAUACUUUUGUUUUUUAAUGGGUUGACCCAGCAGGUCCUCUUUGUCCUUUGACUUAAUGGAUAAUUUAAUUGUUCGUAUUUAAAAAAACAAACAAAAAACAACCAUCUGGUUAAAGUGCGUUUGUACAGAAAUAGUUGUGGGAAAGUAGGAGUUGUCUAUAUCUUUGUGCUCACUAAGUGUUACCUGGAGCACUGUUGUGUUAGAUAUAAUCUGCUGCAUAAUUCUUUGGAAACAAUAUCUGAGUACCGAAUCUUUUGUUAAAUAUUAAAGAGUUAAAAGCUCACGUCUGGUGAAAUGCUACAGUUUAAGACUUAAAGAAAGUUUUCUGUAUUUGGUGUGGAAAUAUGCGUGCGUUUAAGAUAAAUUUAUGUUGGCACAAUAAAUAUCAUUACAGAUCUAUAA